GGGGUAGACACUGUUAUUUCCAUUCACAGAUAACGAAGUGAGGCUCGGAGGGAGGGGACUUGCCCAAAGCCACAAGGAUGAAAGGACUUUUCCAGUUGCUACCAGACUACGCGCUGUCGCCUGAUGGUUAAGAACUGAAGCUUUAGCCGUGCGCGGUGGCUCACGCCUGUAAUCCCAGCACUUUAGGAGGCAGAGGCGGGUGGAUCACCUGAGGUCAGGAGUUCGAGACCAGCUUGACCAACAAGCUGGCGUAUCCGAAUGGGCUGAGCUACCGGAUUAAGAGGGACACCCCAAAGCCCCCAUUGCUGGGUUAUUGCUCCAGAGCCAAUGUCCUUGGGCAAAGGAAGAUAUGCCCUUUGUCUACACUGCACUGCUGGUCUGUAAACUCCUAGACGGCCAGCUGGUGGUUCACAAACCAGGACUCCUUGCUCUGGCCCUACUCCUACCUACCAGAAUGACCGUGAACCCUUCCCCACUCACUCCUACAACCAGGUUUCCAUCUCCUCUCUCAGCUUAGGUUUCCCUAACUGUAAAAUAAAAGGGUUGGACUAGGUUAAGGACUUCCAGCUGUUUCUCUCUCCCACACUCUAAGUUUCCUUAGGAAUGCUUCAGAAAACAGCAGGGGUUUGGGCAAGGAUGCCGUUUGAGCCCAGAGCAACUCCAAUUUCAUAGGUACAUAAAUUUAUGUGAAAGUA